GUCCUCUUAGUUGUAUAUGAGGUCAGGCCUGCCCAGUGAAUUUUAUUUUAACGGCCGCAGUAUUUUGACCGUGCAAAGGUAGCAUAAUCAUUAGUCUUUUAAUAGGAGGCUGGAAUGAAGGGUUUGACGAGGUGUUAACUGUCUCAUUUAAUUUGAAAUUAAAAUUUAAGUUUUCAAUUAAAAGGCUGAAAUUAUAUUGGAAGACGAGAAGACCCUAUAGAACUUUAUAGUUGUAAAUAUAAUUAAUUGUUUUUUAUAGUCAUAUGUCUAUUUUGUUGGGGUGACAAAAAUAUAAAAGUAACUUUUUUAUUUAGUGAUCAUUGAUUUAUGAACUUUAGAUCCAAUUUUAUUAAUUAUUAGAAUAAUUUACCUUAGGGAUAACAGCGUAAUCUUCCUUCAGAGUUCAUAUUUACAGGAAGGAUUGCAACCUCGAUGUUGGAUUAAGAUAAUAGUUAGGUGUAGCCGCUUAAUUUAUAGGUCUGUUCAACCUUUAAACUCUU
rnacentral:rRNA from 1 species